AAAACUUUACAAUGCUGGAAACAGCGAUAAGGGGACCUCGAGUGCCAGGAUACAAUCCUGGCUGUCGUAAUGCCUAAAAAGCAUUGCAUAGCAAGGGCCGGGCAAGACCGGUGCCAGCCGCCGCGGUAACACCGGCGGCUCGAGUGGUAACCGCUAUUAUUGGGUCUAAAGGGUCUGUAGCCGGCUGGAUAAGUCUCUUGGGAAAUCCGGCAGCUUAACUGUCGGGCUUUCAGGGGAUACUGUCCGGCUCGAGACCGGGAGAGGUGAGAGGUACUUCAGGGGUAGGGGUGAAAUCUUGUAAUCCUUGAAGGACCACCAGUGGCGAAGGCGUCUCACCAGAACGGAUCUGACGGCAAGGGACGAAAGCUAGGGGCACGAACCGGAUUAGA
rnacentral:rRNA from 1 species